UUGACUUUUAGUCAAGUGGUAGGGGAGCGUUCUGUAAGCCGAUGAAGGUGUAUUGAGAAGUAUGCUGGAGGUAUCAGAAGUGCGAAUGCUGACAUGAGUAGCGUUAAAGGGGGUGAAAAGCCCCCUCGCCGUAAGCGCAAGGUUUUCUACGCAACGUUCAUCGGCGUAGAGUGAGUCGGCCCCUAAGGCGAGGCAGAGAUGCGUAGCUGAUGGGAAACAGGUCAAUAUUCCUGUACCGAUCAAUAGUGCGAUGUGGGGACGGAGAAGGUUAGCUCAGCCAACUGUUGGAUAUGUUGGUUCAAGCCUGUAGUCGUGCCUGGUAGGCAAAUCCGCCGGGCUUAGAUGAGGGGUGAUAACGAGUCUGCUUGCAGACGAAGUGAGUGAUACCCUGCUUCCAGGAAAAGCCACUAAGCUUCAGCUAUUGACGACCGUACCGCAAACCGACACUGGUGCGCGAGAUGAGUAUUCUAAGGCGCUUGAGAGAACUCAGGAGAAGGAACUCGGCAAAUUGACACCGUAACUUCGGGAGAAGGUGUGCCCCGGUAGGUUGUAGAGCCUCGCGCUCGAAGGCCGAUGGGGUUGCAGUGAAAUGGUGGCUGCGACUGUUUAAUAAAAACACAGCACUCUGCAAACACGAAAGUGGACGUAUAGGGUGUGACGCCUGCCCGGUGCUGGAAGAUUAAAUGAUGGGGUGCAAGCUCUUGAUUGAAGUCCCAGUAAACGGCGGCCGUAACAAUAACGGUCCUAAGGUAGCGAAAUUCCUUGUCGGGUAAGUUCCGACCUGCACGAAUGGCGUAACGAUGGCCACACUGUCUCCUCCUGAGACUCAGCGAAGUUGAAAUGUUUGUGAUGAUGCAAUCUCCCCGCGGAAAGACGGAAAGACCCCAUGAACCUUUACUGUAGCUUUGUAUUGGACUUUGAACGGAUCUGUGUAGGAUAGGUGGGAGGCUUUGAAGUGAGGUCGCUAGAUCUCAUGGAGCCAACGUUGAAAUACCACCCUGGUGCGUUUGAGGUUCUAACCUAGGUCCAUUAGCUGGAUCGGGGACAGUGCAUGGUAGGCAGUUUGACUGGGGCGGUCUCCUCCCAAAGCGUAACGGAGGAGUUCGAAGGUACGCUAGUUACGGUCGGACAUCGUGACGAUAGUGCAAUGGCAUAAGCGUGCUUAACUGCGAGACUGACAAGUCGAGCAGAUGCGAAAGCAGGACAUAGUGAUCCGGUGGUUCCGUAUGGAAGGGCCAUCGCUCAUAGGAUAAAAGGUACUCCGGGGAUAACAGGCUAGUCUCCCCCAAGAGCUCACAUCGACGGGGAGGUUCGGCACCUCGAUGUCGGCUCGUCACAUCCUGGGGCUGGAGAAGGUCCCAAGGGUUGGGCUGUUCGCCCAUUAAAGC
rnacentral:rRNA from 1 species